UGAGGAAUAUUGGGCAAUGCCCGCAAGGGUGACCCAGCAACGCCGCGUGGAGGAUGAAUGUCGCAAGAUUGUAAACUCCUGUUAGAGGGGAAGAAUAGUACCGGUUGGACCGGUAUAUGACUGUACCCUCAGAGAAAGCCCCGGCUAACUACGUGCCAGCAGCCGCGGUAAUACGUAGGGGGCAAGCGUUGUCCGGAUUUACUGGGUGUAAAGGGCGCGCAGGCGGGAUAAAAAGUCAGUGGUGAAAUCCUACAGCUUAACUGUAGAACUGCCUUUGAUACUUUUAAUCUUGAGUUCGGGAGAGAGAGACGGAAUUCCAGGUGUAGUGGUGAAAUACGUAGAUAUCUGGAAGAACACCAGUUGCGAAGGCGGUCUCUUGGUCCGACACUGACGCUGAGGCGCGAAAGCGUGGGGAGCAAACA
rnacentral:rRNA from 1 species